GGAUGGACGCUGGCGGCGUGCCUAAUACAUGCAAGUCGAGCGAACAGACGAGGAGCUUGCUCCUCUGACGUUAGCGGCGGACGGGUGAGUAACACGUGGAUAACCUACCUAUAAGACUGGGAUAACUUCGGGAAACCGGAGCUAAUACCGGAUAAUAUAUUGAACCGCAUGGUUCAAUAGUGAAAGACGGUUUUGCUGUCACUUAUAGAUGGAUCCGCGCCGCAUUAGCUAGUUGGUAAGGUAACGGCUUACCAAGGCGACGAUGCGUAGCCGACCUGAGAGGGUGAUCGGCCACACUGGAACUGAGACACGGUCCAGACUCCUACGGGAGGCAGCAGUAGGGAAUCUUCCGCAAUGGGCGAAAGCCUGACGGAGCAACGCCGCGUGAGUGAUGAAGGUCUUCGGAUCGUAAAACUCUGUUAUUAGGGAAGAACAAAUGUGUAAGUAACUAUGCACGUCUUGACGGUACCUAAUCAGAAAGCCACGGCUAACUACGUG
rnacentral:rRNA from 1 species